rnacentral:rRNA from 1 species
CCUACGGGAGGCAGCAGUGAGGAAUAUUGGUCAAUGGGCGCGAGCCUGAACCAGCCAAGUCGCGUGAGGGAAGACGGCCCUACGGGUUGUAAACCUCUUUUGCCGGGGAGCAACGGGCGCCACGUGUGGCGCCACUGAGAGUACCCGGAGAAAAAGCAUCGGCUAACUCCGUGCCAGCAGCCGCGGUAAUACGGAGGAUGCGAGCGUUAUCCGGAUUCAUUGGGUUUAAAGGGUGCGCAGGCGGGCCUUUAAGCCGGCGGUGAAAUCGCGGGGCUCAACCCCGCCGAGCCGUCGGAACUGGGGGCCUUGAGUGCGGCGGAGGCAUGCGGAAUGCGCGGUGUAGCGGUGAAAUGCAUAGAUCUCGCGCAGAACCCCGAUUGCGAAGGCAGCGUGCCGUGCCGCCACUGACGCUGAGGCACGAAAGCGCGGGGAUCGAACAGGAUUAGAUACCCCUGUAGUC